CCUCCAAGGCUAAAUACUCCUGACUGACCGAUAGUGAACCAGUACCGUGAGGGAAAGGCGAAAAGAACCCCGGCGAGGGGAGUGAAAAAGAACCUGAAACCGUGUACGUACAAGCAGUGGGAGCACCUUCGGGUGUGACUGCGUACCUUUUGUAUAAUGGGUCAGCGACUUAUAUUCUGUAGCAAGGUUAACCGAAUAGGGGAGCCGUAGGGAAACCGAGUCUUAACCGGGCGUUAAGUUGCAGGGUAUAGACCCGAAACCCGGUGAUCUAGCCAUGGGCAGGUUGAAGGUUGGGUAACACUAACUGGAGGACCGAACCGACUAAUGUUGAAAAA
rnacentral:rRNA from 1 species